GGGAAAAUAGAUGGUUGGGAGGGGAGAAGCUAGAGGCCGGGGACGUUUUCCCUUCACCCAUUUCCCUCCAGUUGGUUUUAUCUGAAGUGCUUCAUUCCAUCGCUUAGUUGGGGAGCUAACCUGGGUUUGGUACGCUGUUUGGUGAUUAGCGUUUGCGUUCAGGUGGUAAAUCAUAAGUGACCACAUAUAUGAUGCGUGUAUCCGUUUAGGAAUGAGACGUAUCAGGAUGACUUGUCUCCGGUUAACUGUAACUACCUGCUGCUUUGAACAAAUCGAGAUUCAACACACAUUCUUUUAGGCGUUAAUUGUGGCGGAGUGAUGCUCCACAACACCAGCUGGAUGCUCAAUGAUUAAGCUGGAUGAGCGCUAUGAAGUUGUUUGAUGCCUGGAGAUUAACGAUCUUACUGUAAUCUUUCUU
rnacentral:lncRNA from 1 species